rnacentral:rRNA from 1 species
AACGAACGCUGGCGGCGUGGAUAAGACAUGCAAGUCGAACGGGAUUACUUUUGUAGCAAUACAGAAGUAAUUCAGUGGCGAACGGGUGCGUAACACGUGGGCAAUCUGCCGAAAAGUGGGGGAUAGCUCGCCGAAAGGCGAAUUAAUACCGCAUGUGGUGAGGGACGACAUCUUCCUGAAUCCAAAGCCGGGGCGAACCUGGCGCUUUUUGAGGAGCCCGCGGCCUAUCAGCUUGUUGGUGAGGUAACGGCUCACCAAGGCUUUGACGGGGUAGCUGGUCUGAGAGGACGACCAGUCACACUGGAACUGAGACACGGUCCAGACACCUACGGGUGGCAGCAGUCGAGAAUUUUUCUCAAUGGGGAAACCCUGAAGGAGCGACGCCGCGUGGAGGAUGGAAGG